rnacentral:rRNA from 1 species
AUUGAACGCUGGCGGCAUGCCUUACACAUGCAAGUCGAACGGUAACAGGUCUUCGGAUGCUGACGAGUGGCGAACGGGUGAGUAAUACAUCGGAACGUGCCUAGUAGUGGGGGAUAACUACUCGAAAGAGUGGCUAAUACCGCAUGAGAUCUACGGAUGAAAGCAGGGGAUCGCAAGACCUUGUGCUACUAGAGCGGCCGAUGGCAGAUUAGGUAGUUGGUGGGAUAAAAGCUUACCAAGCCGACGAUCUGUAGCUGGUCUGAGAGGACGAUCAGCCACACUGGGGCUGGGACACGGCCCAGACGCCUACGGGAGGCAGCAGUGGGGAAUUUUGGACAAUGGGCGAAAGCCUGAUCCAGCAAUGCCGCGUGCAGGAUGAAGGCCUUCGGGUUGUAAACUGCUUUUGUACGGAACGAAAAGCCCCGGGUUAAUACCCUGGGGUCAUGACGGUACCGUAAGAAUAAGCACCGGCUAACUACGUGCCAGCCGCCGCCGUAA